GACGAACGCUGGCGGCGUGCCUAAUACAUGCAAGUCGAACGAACAGACCCGGAUCUUGCUCGUCUGACGUUUGCCGCGGACGUGUGAGUAACACGUGUAUAACCCACCUAUAAGUCUGAUAUAACCUCGAAAAUCGGGCGCUAAUACCGGAUAAGAUAUUGAUCCAUAUUGUUCAUUAGUGAAUUACGGUUUUUUUGUCUCUUAUAGCUGCAUCCGGGCCGCUUUAGCUGGUUGUUACGGUCACGGCUUACCAAGGCGAGGAGGCGUAGCCGACCUAGAAGGGUGAUCGGCCACACUGGAACUGAGACGCGGUCCAGAGUCCUAAGGGAGGCAGCAGAAGGGAAUGUUACGCAAUGGGCGAGAGCAUGACGGAGCAACGCCGCGUGAGAGAUGAAGGUCUUCGGAUCGUAAUACUCUGUUAUUAGGGGAAAACAGAUGUGUAAGUAACUAUAGACGUAUUGACGGUACCUGGUAAGAAAGCCACGGCUAACUACGUG
rnacentral:rRNA from 1 species